AUGGAAUGGUCUCAAGCCUUAUUUUUGACCUGCUCCAUGGCCAGUUCUGACCGGAGCUGUGUGAUUCAGCACCACUGGCCAUGGGGGCAGCUGCAGGGCUGUCCCACGGAGUCCUCCAGCACACGGAAAAUUUGCCCCAGGGAAAGGGAGAGGCUCAGGUUGGUGAUUUUUGGUUCAGCCCCUGCUCUUACACCCCUGGGAAGAGCUGUUUGUGUGUUUUCCUGCCCCUGGGACAUCCCUGGCCCCAACCCAAACAGCAAAGCACUGCUCUGCCCUUCCCCUCCCUGUCCCUGUCCUCCCUGUGUCCCCUCCCCAACACGAGGCCCUGGGGCCCGCCGGGCUCAUGUGAGGAGGGAUUUAAUCUCCUUAGGGGCUCAGGGGCCAGGCGGGGGGGCCUCGCUGCACCCCCACACUCUGAGCACUCCAAUGCUCCUAUUGUUUGGGGCUGGGAGCUGGGGGGAGGGUGAGGUGGGGGGCAUGGGACCCCCUGCUCCCCACACAUCCCUCGUUUCCCCCAGGACCAGAGCAGGGUGUUCCAGAGGAGGGGGGAUGACCCUUCCUUGGUGCUGGGGCUGUGCAGGAGCUGGAAGAGGAUGUGGAUGGCUUUGGGGGGGCCCUCAUUCGUAUCCAGGGGGAUUUUGGGGUGCAGGAGCUGGGAUGUCUGGCUUCUCCCUGCACAUCCCCCCAGUCCUUCCUUCCCCAUCCCUCUGCCUGCAGUGGCCAGGUGGUUUGGGAGCCUUGGGCUCACAUGUGUGUGGGAAGCCAAAGCCACCCAGCCCAGCUCCCUCUGGCCCCGCUGUCCCAGGGCUCCCUAAUCCUGGCACAGAGACAUUCUGUGUGCACCAAGGGUAUUUUUAUCCUCUUACUGCUGCCUGUUUCCUGUUGAGCUGCAGAUGCUUUGGGUCAGCUCUGUCUCACAAGCAGGAUGGCUCAGAGCUCGCUGGGUUUGGGGGCAUAUUGAGGUGGCUCGAGGUUGUAUUUCCUUUGUCUCAGUUUAAAACAAAGGCAAAGGGUCAGUAA
rnacentral:lncRNA from 1 species